ACAACAGCUGAUCGUUAUUUAUCUUUCGUGUGGUGUUUUCAAUUUUAAGCCAAAAUAGAUUCAUCAAAUACAAUGAAACCUACGAUUGUAGCAGACGAAAUGUUUCCAGAAGGAGCUGGACCCUAUAUGGAAUUUGACGAGGUAAAAUUUAUUAUGUAGUUUGCCGAAAAUCCUUUUGAACCUCGUAGUCCACUGUUAAGUAACGUGGUAGAAGCUCUUAUAAAGUGCUUAGAUGUUAUAUAGUUAAUUAGAAAUAGGCAGGAGGAUCAGCUUCCUUGCUGAUGGAUAUAACUGCCAUAGAGAAAGUGGUUCAUGCAGACUUCUUUAAUGAUUUUGAUGACCUCUACGAUGAUGAUGAUUUGCAGUAAAGAAAAAUACGUUGGUUGGUAAUAAUUAUUUAUUGAUUCAAAACAAAAAAAUCUACAAUAUUCUGAAAAUACUGUUUGAUGUAUUAUUUUGCCCCUAAAUCAGAAGUUGAAAUGUACUUUUAUAGUUGUACUAUAUUCCACAUAAAUUAACAAAAAAAUAAUUAAACAAUACCCUAAAAUGGCA